CAACCCACCACCACCACCGCCGCCAUGAGCCCCUCCUUCUCGGCCGCCGGUGACGCAUCCCCUCGCCGGUGAAUAGUUUCACUCGCUCCCUUCCCCACCCUUCCCCGACGCCCUCGUCUCUCGUCCCCUCCCCCCUCAACCCACCACCACCAUGGCUGUCGCCAAAUCUUUGAUCCACCACCACCGCCGCCAUGAGCCCCUCCUUCUCGGCCGCCGGUGACGCAUCCCCUUGCCGGUGUAUAGCUUCCCCCUGAGUCCUAUUCCACCGUCCCCACACCGGUAACUCGCGAAGCUUUCUGUUUGAUGGCGUGGCUGCCUCCGGUGACCGCAACGCCGCCGUUGAGUUCUCAAAUCCUGUACAUGGGAUGUGUAAAGAUUAUCCCUCUUGCGACAUGCCUACUAUGCGGUUAUGCCUCUAAGUCGUGCUCCGACACGUGGGAGAUAUAGCCGCAUCGUGAGUGUUACAACUGCUCUGGCCAUGCUAACUUGUCUUUCCUCAAGCAAAUCAACCAAUGAAGGGUAACAACGAAGCCUGAAGGCUAAACCGAAAUCUGGAUGCAAGUUCAAGCCUCUUUAAUGGAUGCAAAGAUUUAUUUUUAAUGGUCCUAAUGCAUUUGUAAUGGCGAGUUAUAGUCUUUUAUCUUCCAUAUCGUGCUUAAUAAGUUGUGAACCUUCGAAGAUCUUUGUUUCCGAGGAGCACAAGUUUCAGCCUUUAAUGGCCCUUCAAACAUCUUAUCACUUUUAUUGUCUGCAUUAUAGAUUAUUAUAUUUGAAUGUUUGAAUGCGUGAAGAUGAAGCUUUCUAGAUCUUUUUGAUCUUGAUCACUGAAAAAA